rnacentral:rRNA from 1 species
GGACUACUCGGGUUUCUAAUCCUGUUUGCUCCCCACGCUUUCGCGCCUCAGCGUCAGUCAAGGACCAGGUCGCCGCCUUCGCCACCGGUGUUCUUCCCAAUAUCUACGAAUUUCACCUCUACACUGGGAAUUCCACGACCCUCUUCCAAACUCUAGUCCACACGUAUCAAAUGCAGCCCCCAGGUUGAGCCCAGGAAUUUCACAUCUGACUGUGCAAACCGCCUACGCGCCCUUUACGCCCAGUCAUUCCGAGCAACGCUAGCCCCCUUCGUAUUACCGCGGCGGCUGGCAC